UAAGUCAAAACGACUCUCGGCAACGGAUAUCUCGGCUCUCGCAUCGAUGAAGAACGUAGCGAAAUGCGAUACUUGGUGUGAAUUGCAGAAUCCCGUGAACCAUCGAGUCUUUGAACGCAAGUUGCGCCCGAAACCAUUCGGUUGAGGGCACGUCUGCCUGGGCGUC
rnacentral:rRNA from 1 species